rnacentral:rRNA from 1 species
AACGGAAUUUGUUAGAUGAAUUUUUCGGAAGGAUUCUAAUAAGUUUAGUGGCGAACGGGUGAGUAACGCGUGGGCAACCUGCCUCAAACAGGGGGACAACACCGGGAAACUGGUGCUAAUACCGCAUAAGACAACAGUAGGGCAUCUUACAGUUGGAAAAGGAGUUAAAUCCGGUUUGAGAUGGGCCCGCGUCUGAUUAGCUAGUUGGUAGGGUAACGGCCUACCAAGGCGAUGAUCAGUAGCCGAACUGAGAGGUUGAUCGGCCACAUUGGGACUGAGACACGGCCCAAACUCC